GAUACUGUUGAUGGAAUUUAGGCAGGAGUAGGAAUUUAAAGAGCUGGGUGAUGAUGAUACAAUGGAGGGGUUUUACCAAGUUGCAAGAGGCCUAAAAAUAAAUAAAUAAAAUUGCAAGAGGCCUAAAAAUAAAUAAAUAAAAUUGCAAGAGGCCUCCGGUGGUGGCUUAUCUGGAGAAAUUCAAAGAGUUGAAGGCUGCUGUAAUAUCAAGGUUCCAGCAUUAUCAGAAUCUUAUUACAUCAAAAGCUUCUUGUGUGGGUUGGAGGAGGAAAUUAAACACACAGUCAAGAUGCAUAAACCAGCUAUCGUCCAAGCAACUUUUGAGAUGACUUGGUGGCAAGCACACAACUUGGAAUUUAUUGAAAACCAAUGCAAGGUGUUCUUCAAGAAUGCUUAGCCCUGAUCACAGACAGGGCUGCAAACAAGUCAAGUCAAGCUUGAGUAGUGAACUACUCGAAUCAAAAUACUUUAGCUCGAGCUUUAUCAGAUCUAGCUCAAUCAAGCUUAAUACAGCUCAAUUGAGCUUGAGAGAUAUAAAUUAGUAUUUCAUAUAAUUUCAACAUUUCACACUAAGGAAUAUUAAAAAUACUAUUAAGCUCAACAAAUUUUCAAGCCUCACAUGAUAGGCUUUAAAUCAAGCUUGUCAAGCUAUUCAAGCUGCACGAGCUUCGACCGAGCAAGCUUGCUAGUAGCUUGAUUCAGGCCAGCAUCUUUGCACCCCUAACCUCAGAUAGCAGCUGAGGGAUCAAGGCUGGUCAAUCCUCCAC
rnacentral:lncRNA from 1 species